AUUGAACGCUGGCGGCAUGCCUUACACAUGCAAGUCGAACGGCAGCACGGGUGCUUGCGCCUGGUGGCGAGUGGCGAACGGGUGAGUAAUACAUCGGAACAUGUCCUGUAGUGGGGGAUAGCCCGGCGAAAGCCGGAUUAAUACCGCAUACGAUCUACGGAUGAAAGCGGGGGACCUUCGGGCCUCGCGCUAUAGGGUUGGCCGAUGGCUGAUUAGCUAGUUGGUGGGGUAAAGGCCUACCAAGGCGACGAUCAGUAGCUGGUCUGAGAGGACGACCAGCCACACUGGGACUGAGACACGGCCCAGACUCCUACGGGAGGCAGCAGUGGGGAAUUUUGGACAAUGGGCGAAAGCCUGAUCCAGCAAUGCCGCGUGUGUGAAGAAGGCCUUCGGGUUGCAAAGCACUUUUGUCCGGAAAGAAAUCCUUGGCCCUAAUACGGUCGGGGGAUGACGGUACCGGAAGAAUAAGCACCGGCUAACUACGUG
rnacentral:rRNA from 1 species